UUUUUGUGGGGGAUCUCCCAUAAGCCAUGUGGCCCAUCAUAUGGGUCAUUCUAUCAUCCAAAGGCAAGCCUCAUAUGUUCAGUUCAUUUGCUCAGACCAAAUGUUUUUUGUUGUUGUUGUUGUUGAUGGAACACUAGCAUUUUUUCUAUGCCCCAAAUAACACCUGCUUCCUUUGGUUUUCUGUAGUUUUUACUCCUUUUUGGCUUUGUUGUGUAGGCCUGCGAGAGGAAGAAGCACUGGCAACAGCAGCUCCCCUUCUCCAAGAGCUAAUUAGCACCUUGGUUCUUAGCAGGUAGGUAUGCCUCUCUCUCUCUCUCUCUCUCUCCUGGUUUCAUCAUGUCUGUUGGGUGCAAUCUGGGAAGCGAAAGGCUGGAACAUGCAGAAAGUAACUUCAGAAGCUGGAAGUUGGUGCUGAUAUCAAAGACACUGUAGGUUGGUGGGUUUUGGUGUCCAAAGAGUUGUGUUGGGUCUUCAGUACUCAUGUAUGGAUUGGCUAGUUUAGGCAUUUUACUUUAGAACAUGUAUGGUGCUAUUGACAUAGGUGGGUUAUGGAUAAAUUCCUACUUGGAUUUUUUUUAGUACCCCCGAAAGCAUUGAGGCAGUUGAAUUUGGUCAUGAUAUAAACAUGCUCUAGAAACAUAUGGUUAUAAAUGCAUGGAUUGUUGAUAUAUUUACCUGUUGGUUAUUAUCUCUGCUAUCAUUUAAGUACCGUGAGAUGGUUUGGCAUUCAUUUAUUGGAUUUUUCUACAUGAAGAACAUGUCAUUGUUCUUAUUCUUUUAAAAUUUUAAAAAUGUUUUCAAUGUGCAAGCGGCAGUCUCUAGUAUGUAUUCAUUGGAUUAAAAUGACCUCUUAUUUCUUUGAAAACAUAGGCAUGUUAUUUAGGUCAAUUUGUACUUCAAAAUGGACAACUUAUUGUUAAUAUUAUUUGUAGAUUAUUUGCUUGAUUUGUUGUCAUCAUUGCCAUCACUUUAAUGGCCACAAUAUUAUCAUUUGGAUGGAAUUGUCUAAUAGGAGUGAAAAAAUAAAAUGACAAAUGGGAAAUGCUUAUCAUCUUCCCCACAUGCUGCUGAAUACACCUUAUGCAUGUUUGGUGAUCCACAUCAUUAAUCUGGUGGAUACACCAUUGAAGGGGCCCCAAAUUGCCUCAAACACAAUCCAAAUCCAACAGAAAAAGGACAGGUGAAUGACCACUACCAAAAAACUAGGCAAAGCCAACGGACUUGGACUUGGGGUACUUGGUAAUUUUGGAGUCCUUCUUGGUUAGGGUUUGGGCUGAAAGUACGAGUGCUGGAGCCGACACUUUCGGAGUUCGAACUCAUUCUUUUGAAAAAUAGAAGAAUGGGAAUAUUAGUAAAUAUGGAUUUUCUUGUUAAGAAGAAAAUGGAAGAUGGAUUGAAAAAACAUAAAAGAGAAAUUUUUUUUCUUCUUCUUUUUUGCUUCAAGAGAGAGAGAGAUGGAGAGGUACUCAUAAACAUUAUGGUAUGUUCUCUUUGAAGCAGCCAUUGAUCGAUCUCCCUCCAAUAGCUGAAGAGAAUGGAAGAAAUCAGAGCACACGAAGUGAAAGGUGUUGAUUGGAUUCAUCUGCUAGCACAAUGGUUUGAUUUUCAGAUUCAUUGCUCCGAUGACAACCGGAUAUCAGAUUCAUUGCUCCUUGCGUGUGUACUAGUUGAUUUUGGAGGUUCUUUUAUAAUGAGCAUACUGUUCCCAGCCUCAUCAUGAGAUCAGGAAGCAAGCUUGCUCAGAUCAGCGACGUAACAUUGCAUGCAGAAUGUCAGGGGCUACUGUCAGCCUCAUGAAAGAUAGACCUGAGCUAACUAAAAAGGUGGUCCAAAUAUCCGGUAGUUCCGAGCAGGCUGAGAGAGCCCAGAGCCUUCUCCAGGUAUUUGUUCUAAGCACACAAGAUGCCACACCAAGCUAAAUCUAAGCUAUGGGUGUUGUAAAGCCGAGAUCUUGUAAGGUAGCAAUGGAUGCUUUCAGUUUUCACCAGUAAUCUGUUUUCCCAGAAUCUGGCAGUUAUCAACAAUCAUUGUAUAAAAGGUAAGAAUGGUUUAUUUUUCUUUCUCUUUUCUUUUUCAUUUUAAUGUCAAUCUACAGUUCUACGA